CCAGCAUGACGCGGCGCAGCGCACCGAACUGCGCAAACCGCAAGCACGGUGGCAAAGCUUUUUACGCGGUACCGUGCGGGCGGAAAGAUGUGCGCCGGCGACUGGUAUGACUACUGCUGCGUAUGGGCCGAGACCGGCCGGCUCCGAAAGGGCAAUGUGAGGUGCUUCAUUGGCAUAUGCGAAGAAGAGGGAACACAAAGGAGCCCACUCAAGAACUCUGGCGGCUCUUCAAGAAGAAAGGGAGCUUUCUGAGUCUAUUUUAUUAUUGCUUUAUUGACUUCAGGUACAGGCUUACAUUUUCCGCUUUUCAUUUUAAGCUCUUCUGAUGGAGCAAGACAGGCUGUUCAUAAUCUUAAAGUACAUGGCAACUGAAAACGGACCUUCUUGUGUUUUUCUUUUUUUUCCGACGUCUGUCCUGAGCAUUCAUGUAACCUUUAUGGAGCGUCAAUUAUAAUUGCAUAAAGACA